AUAAGAGGGGGGAUAACAUCCGGAAACGGGUGCUAAUACCGCAUAGUUUUCUUGAUCGCAUGAUUGAGAAGGAAAGACGGCCUUGUGCUGUCGCUAUGGAUGGACCCGCGGCGUAGUUAGUUAGUUGGUGAGGUAAUGGCUCACCAAGACGAUGAUACGUAGCCGACCUGACGAGGGUGAUCGGCCACAUUGGGACUGAGACACGGCCCAAACUCCUACGGGAGGCAGCAGUAGGGAAUCUUCCGCAAUGGACGAAAGUCUGACGGAGCAACGCCGCGUGAGUGAAAAGAAGGUUUUCGGAUCGUAAAACUCUGUUGUCAGAGAAGAACAAGUUGGAGAGUAACUGCUCCAGCCUUGACGGUAUCUGACCAGAAAGCCACGGCUAACUACGUGCCAGCCGCCGC
rnacentral:rRNA from 1 species